UCAACCUCGCUUUCACCCAUCUUCCCCUGCCCCAAAUUCUUCCCAGCAUGAGCCCUUUCCAUGGCUUGGCCGGCGGCCUUGCCUGUCCUCGGACGUCGUGGUCAUCAUCGAGCCCCUCGCGUCGCCCCCCACCCUACGUCGCCGUAGCUCCCAUCUUGGAUGGUGGCCUUCGGCCCGGCUGCCUGGUUCGCGGUGUGGGUGCGUGGCGGCCACCAACACUGGCGACUGCUCCAGAUCGGAGGCACUGUGUUUCCUCGGGUCCGCCACGCCGCCACCGGCACCUACGAGGCUGUCGGCAAGGUGGAUUGCGGAGGAAUCUAGCGGCCGGACAGGCGCAGAGCCGCAUGGCCAGAGGGACUCCCGGUGGCGGCGGUCCUCGUGUGGUGCUCCGUUAGCGGCUAUUCUUUGGGCCAUGCCAUGCCACUGGGAUACAGUGGGAGCUGCGGUGGGCAAAUAGGGCGAACUGUCGAGGGCUGCCACGAUCUCCUUCGUGGCCGUUAGCUCUGGCCGGUCGGGCCUUCCUAGGCUUGGUGGCCCGUCAGGGAGGCGAUUAAGAUGUCCGGCUCCGCUUUCCUCAGUGUAGCUCCUCACUUGGAUGAUGGCCCCGUCCCUGCCGGACUGGUUUGCCGUUUGGGCACUCGACGACCAGCACGUCGUCGGCCUGCUCCAGUUCUAGGAGCACGCUGUCGCGUGGAACUGCCCAUCUGCUACCCGCCCGACGCCGUCAGACAUGGCAGUAGAUGGAGCGACGGAGGUUACUACAGGUAAGUACUUCAGGCAACUGAUCGCUGGCUACAAAAGCAGUUCUGCCCGAUUGCUACACCCAAUCGAUUCCACCCAAGGAGCUGACACAACGUACGUGUUCUUCAUCCACCUUUUGUUUCUGAGUUUUUGCUUGGCCAAUAGUUCAUAUGCCUAUUCUGAUGAAAGGGUAAAUAGAUCCACAAUACGUUUGUUCAGCUUUGCUAAUAACUCAUGUUGCUUUUUCCGAGCAAAGGGUAAAUAGAUCCAAACACAUUCCUCGAAACCAGUACAGCUCUUAUGCUGCAUAAUUAUCUGUAUUACGUAAUUGACCACACUGCCACUAUUCCUAUAUCUUUACUAGACAAUGCGUAUUUUUCAUCCUAUCACCAAUUCAGUAAGUAUAUUUCUCUAUAUGUGAAUUGAGAAAGAUAUUGAUUCUUUCGGUUGGAGUAUUGUCUUUCUGAGUGACCUUCAUGUAAAGGAAUAAUCAAUAAUACGCCUAACUGUUAUUUUUCUUCAGUUCAGUUUUGAUUUGUCCCCACAUGUUGUCACUCAUGUUUCACACAAUAGGUGUAUUCUCCAGGCCAUCCAGAGCAUGGUGUUUUGCUAAGAACUUAGGAAUACGCUAAUUAGGCAUUUGUUUAUUGCAUCCACCUUUAGUUUUUGUCUCUACUAUGUUUUUGACUACACUACAGCCCAACUAUUAAUUUACAGUGCAGUUUCAUCUUGCUACACCAUGGUCUGGAGAUAUGAUCUUCUCUUUUUAAGACAACUGAAACUGGGGGGUCUCUCCUUAGGCUGCACACAUGUUUGUUUGUAAUGGUUGGCAUACAUUCUUCUUUUCUCAAUGCCUUCAUCGGUUCAUUCUUCUUCAUGCUAUUGUGGCAGCAGGUACAAUACCGAGGCUUGCAUUUCCAUAUGACACUAUCUACAUUGUUAACUCUGAUAAUCUUACACAUGUAUGCAGUCCGUUGUCAUCUUCCUACGCAUGGUUGUUGAGGCAUGUAAUAAAUUUGGAUGCAUGGUGGUACUGUUUUAGUUGAUAGAACAUGUAUGCAUAAAUUUGAAUAUGCUCUGAUGUACAUGUACAUACGUCAGGUACAGGUUUGAUGCAUCAGGGAAGCAAUCAGCUUAAUUAUAAAGUUCAGUUAACAUUACAUAUAGUUUGGCUGCAAUAUGUUAAUCGUUUUGUCUUGAGCUUUCCAUGUUUUUGAAGUUUUGCACAUUAAUUUAACUACAUAUGCUGAUUGUAUCUUAUUUAUUUCAUACAAUUGCAGUAGCAUAUAGUUCCUAGGAAGAAGCAUUUAUAUAUAAACACAUGAGUGUCUGAAGCUUUUACAUCGCAAAAUGGACUAGCCGUGAUGGUGCUAAGUUUUGAGUGAUAUAAAAUUUGUGGUGUGUGCUGAUUGUGAUGCUUCUUCCUUACAGUGAUAUAUAUUUCUUUCCCGUCAGUUAGCAUAUCUACUAUGUAUGCUGCAGCAGGCUCAGGUCGAGGUGAGAUAAGUGAGCGCGCCCUGCGAACAUGUCGUGCAGCAGUUCAAGCAUCUCUCUUCAAGAAUUCCGUGUGAUCUCUUGCAGGCAUACGAGGACCUUCAACUUUAUUCAAUACAUGAACUUGGGAUUUUUGGAAUAUAGGGACCUAGGGAGUUGAUUUCGCAACAAAAUGUGGAGAGUGGGAGCGAGAGGUUAAGAGCAUUCAGCUGAUACAUUACUGAUUUGGAGUGUCAUGAAAUUCACCUUCAAGAGUCGCCAGUAUAAAGGCUCUCCAAAACUCUGACACUAAUCUCCUCCAAAUACUCUGAUUAGUCCCUCUAUCAAGAUUGAUAUCUUUAGGUUUUAGGAGGAGUUUAGAAUGAUCCCUUCCUCACGGACAUGAAUGCCAUGUAUGAAAAUCAAUCAUCGCAGAUUCCUUUGUCUUCCAAAUGACGCGCAGUCGGUUGUAGCGCACGCCCUUCGAAUUGAUUAUGGUAUCGUUUCAAUGGAAAGUUUCAUGUUGCUGGUCGGGCCCUGGCAAUAUGAUCCAAUACUAGAAGGACGAAAGUAGCUUGCCAUGGUCAGUUUCUUACUACUAGAGAUGAGGCGAGGAGCUACCUGUAAAGCUUAUGAACUCAGACAGCUGGAGACUGAAACCAGCUAUAUUGGUAGAUGACCUACCUGUUGAGCUUGACAAGCUGGUGCUUGGCAUUCUUUUAUAGUGGUUUAGCAUGAAAUGAUUCUAACUUUGCUACAGUUCUAAUAAGGUGUGAUGUGUGGCGUAUCCAUUUUAUGGAUAAAGUCAUGCAGUUAUGAAUAAAUUCUCCAUGAAUUUCUAGAUGAGUUAUAUCUGUUUUUUUAGUUAUAUUUACUUAGGAAUUACUAGAUGUUUUUCCAAUUCUAUCACUUGGUGCAGUAUGCUUUCUUAGGAGUUGGAUGGAUUGUAUUUAUUGAUGCUCUGUUUAAAUGUUCAUGCAUAGAGAGCAAU